AUGGAAAGACCUAUUUUCUCUGAUGAUUGUUUUGAAGUGGCAGACCAUGUGAACAACUUGGGCACCAUCGCGGGCUCGGGCACCAAGGAGUUCAUGGAGGUGCUGCAGGGCUGGGGCCGUGGCUGCGCCAACAGCACCGCCGCGUCGACGACGAAGGUGGUGACCGCGGCGGCGAGCGGCGCGAGUUGGUGGCUGCGGGACUGGACGGCACGGCUCAUAUAUGUGCUUCUGACUAAUCCAGCUUCUUUUGGUCUAGCUGGGCAUUACUUUGAGUUCAUAUAUGUGCUUGUCACUCCAUAG
rnacentral:rRNA from 1 species